rnacentral:rRNA from 1 species
CCUACGGGGGGCAGCAGUGGGGAAUAUUGGGCAAUGGGCGCAAGCCUGACCCAGCAACGCCGCGUGAAGGAAGAAGGCUUUCGGGUUGUAAACUUCUUUUCUGAGGGACGAAGAAAGUGACGGUACCUCAGGAAUAAGCCAUGGCCAACUACGUGCCAACAGCCGCGGUAAUACGUGGGUGGCAAGCGUUAUCCGGAUUUAUUGGGUGUAAAGGGCGUGUAGGCGGGAAAGCAAGUCCGAUGUGAAAACUGAGGGCUCAACCCUGAGCCUGCAGUUGAAACUGGUUUUCUUGAGUGAUGGAGAGGCAAUCGGAAUGCCGUGUGUAGCGGUGAAAUGCGUAGAUAUACGGAGGAACACCGGUGGCGAAGGCAGAAUGCUGGACAGUAACUGACGCUGAGGCGCGAAAGCGUGGGGAGCAAACAGGAUUAGAUACCCUUGUAGUC